GAUGAACGCUGGCGGCGUGCCUAAUACAUGCCAGUCGAGCGAACAGAUGAGGAGCUUGCUCCUCUGACGUUAGCGGCGGACGGGUGAGUAACACGUGUAUAACCUACCUAUCAGACUGGGAUAACUUCGGGAAACCGGCGCUAAUACCGGAUAAUAUAUUGAACCGCAUGGUUCAAUAGUGAAAGACGGUGUUGCGGUCACUUAUCGAUGGAUCCGCGCCGUAUUAGCUGGUUGGUAAGGUAACGGCCUACCAAGGCAAGGAGGCGUGGCCGAACGGAGAGGGUGGUAGGCCACCCGGGAACGGGGACACGGUCCAGACUCCUACGGGAGGCAGCAGUAGGGAAUCUGCCGCAAUGGGCGAAAGUCUGACGGAGCGAGGCCGCGUGAGUGAUGAAGGUCUUCGGAGCGUAAAACUCUGUUAUGAGUGAAGAACAAAUGUGUAAGGAACUGUGCCCUUCUUGACGGUACCUGAUCAGAAAGCACCGGCUAACUACGUG
rnacentral:rRNA from 1 species